rnacentral:rRNA from 1 species
GCCUACGGCCAUACCACGUUGAACACACCGGUUCUCGUCCGAUCACCGAAGUUAAGCGACGUCGAGCCCGGUUAGUACUUGGAUGGGUGACCGCCUGGGAACACCGGGUGCUGUAGGUA